rnacentral:rRNA from 1 species
UACGUAGGUCCCGAGCGUUGUCCGGAUUUAUUGGGCGUAAAGCGAGCGCAGGUGGUUUAUUAAGUCUGGUGUAAAAGGCAGUGGCUCAACCAUUGUAUGCAUUGGAAACUGGUAGACUUGAGUGCAGGAGAGGAGAGUGGAAUUCCAUGUGUAGCGGUGAAAUGCGUAGAUAUAUGGAGGAACACCGGUGGCGAAAGCGGCUCUCUAGCCUGUAACUGACACUGAGGCGCGAAAGCGUGGGGAGCAAACAGG